rnacentral:rRNA from 1 species
UACGGGGGGGGCAAGCGUUGUUCGGAAUUACUGGGCGUAAAGGGCUCGUAGGUGGUCAACUAAGUCAUACGUGAAAUCCCUCGGCUUAACCGGGGAACUGCGCCUGAUACUGGUUGACUUGAGUUUGGGAGAGGGACGCGGAAUUCCAGGUGUAGCGGUGUAAUGCGUAGAUAUCUGGAGGAACACCGGUGGCGAAGGCGGCGUCCUGGACCAAUACUGACACUGAGGAGCGAAAGCCAGGGGAGCAAACGGG